AGACCAUGAUGAGGGCAACGCCUAAGUAGGUCCUUAUAUCUUUCCCAAGCCUAGUAUAAUAAUUCAAUAUCUAAUUGCAUGAACGAUGUGAUAUCAUUCCUCAUUUU
rnacentral:snoRNA from 1 species